rnacentral:tRNA from 12 species
GGCCCCAUAGUCUAGAGGCCUAGGACGCCGGACCCUCAUUCCGGAAACAGCGGUUCGAAUCCGCUUGGGGCUACCA